CAGCAAUGGUAGGAGGCAUCCAGUUCAGCCACUCAGGGUGCCCAUACAAAGGAAGUAACAGCAAUAAGUGCCCACCUUACACUUCUUGAAUUACCUGGGUCAUGCUCCAGGGACAAAGCAAUAAGUGGAAGAGCUUACUCCAUAGGUGUAUUUUGCCUCUGCCAUAUGCUGUAUUGGAAAGCAACAGUAAAAGCAAGCCCCCCGCAGAAACCACAGCAUUAAUUGCCUCUCAGCCACUCCAUGGCAGGAGGAGAGAGGGGCACAUGGUGAAACGAGCA